rnacentral:rRNA from 1 species
UACAACUUUCAACAACGGAUCUCUUGGCUCUUGCAUCGAUGAAGAACGCAGCGAAAUGCGAUAAGUAAUGUGAAUUGCAGAAUUCAGUGAAUCAUCGAAUCUUUGAACGCACCUUGCGCCCCUUGGUAUUCCGAGGGGCAUGCCUGUUUGAGUG